GAUGAAGAACGUAGCGAAAUGCGAUACGUAAUGUGAAUUGCAGAAUUCAGUGAAUCAUCGAAUCUUUGAACGCACAUUGCGCCUGCCAGCACUCUGGCAGGCAUGCCUGUUCGAGCAUCAUUUCAACCAUCAAGCCCUAGGCUUGCGUUGGAGCCCUGCGGCUGCCGCAGGCCCCUAAAAGCAGUGGCGGGCUCGCUAUCACACCGAGUGCAGUAGAUUACUCUUCGCUCAGGGCGUGUGGCGGGUUCCAGCCGUGAAACCCCCUACUUCUCAAGGUUGACCUCGGAUCAGGUAGGAAUACCCGCUGAACUUAAGCAUAUCAAUAAGCGGGGA
rnacentral:misc_RNA from 1 species